CGAGAAAGCCCGCAAGGGUGAGUAAAGCGGCGCGCGGGUGAGUAACACGUGGGUAAUCUGCCCUAGAGUCCGGAAUAACUCGCCGAAAGGCGUGCUAAUGCCGGAUGAGACCACGGAGUCUUCGGACUCUGCGGGAAAAGGUGGCCUCUGUACACAAGCUAUCGCUUCAGGAUGAGUCCGCGGCCCAUCAGCUAGUUGGCGGGGUAAAGGCCCACCAAGGCAACGACGGGUAGCUGGUCUGAGAGGACGAUCAGCCACACUGGAACUGAGACACGGUCCAGACUCCUACGGGAGGCAGCAGUGGGGAAUCUUGCGCAAUGGGCGAAAGCCUGACGCAGCAACGCCGCGUGUGUGAUGAAGGUCUUCGGAUCGUAAAGCACUGUCGCGAGGGACG
rnacentral:rRNA from 1 species